AUCCUUUUGUAGUUCAUAAGCAUGAUUAUUGGUUUUUCACACUCAUGCAUGAGAUGUGCCUCCCUCAAACCUUGUUACUAUCAGCAUAUUACCUGCCUCACA
ensembl:snoRNA